UAAUUGAUUGUGUAUUUUUCUGUCAUACACCUUCAAUCGUUCUGCAUAAAAAAUCGUUCACAUGAAUAGGAAGGAGCCUUGACGUGGUUCAUGUGCUUUAAACAAAUACCUUCCAGACAGAUACAUUCUCACCCGUUGUACUGUGAGGGAUAAAUGUUGACAUUGAGUACAUUGUAGGUAUCAAGAAUAGCUAGUAUAGUGUUAAAGUAUAAUAUGACCAAUUAUCAUCGUUAUUAUCAAAGAAUUGGUGAGCUUGUCUUGAUUCCAAAUUUUGAAAAUAAAUUAUUUCACGAUAUCAGAAAAGGUUCAACAAAUGAAAUAAGAGCUUUAAUAUCUAAACGCAGUCUUAGAGAUCAAAACAUACCUGCUGAUCCACUGGUUAAUUUUGGUCUUGAAAGUGAAGAUGAAUAUUGUGUAGUUAAUCGAGCAUACCAACUUGAAGCUAUUAACAGUUCAUCUGAUUGCUAUUGCAAUACCAAAUCUAAAGAUUACUACAAUAUUUGUAAGUCAAAAGAGAAAUACAAAGAGAAUGACUUAUUUGAAAUUUGUGAUGGAAUUGAAGACCUUGAUGUGGAGAUAGAUCAAAAUGCUUUGCAAGAGCAACAAGCUAUGUUGAAAAUGGGUUUACCUGCAUGUAUUUUGGAUGCCCUUUGUGAUGAUUAUGAAUUAAAGGGAAAUGCCUUUACAAAGAUUAAAUCAAUUGAUAGUAAAGAAAAGGUAGCAGCAACUAAAAUCUUCUCAGAUUUGGAAGAAUGUAAAAGUAAGAAAACAAGCACACAAAAAGAUGAUACUUAUGUUUCAGUUGAAAAAAAUGAAGUUGAAAAAGAAGUUGAAAAAGAAGAUUGUAUUGUUUGCUUAAACUGUGAAAAAGAAAGCAAACAAUGCUCUGAUAUGAAUAUGAACAUCAAAUUAUCUAAAAAUGAAAAUGUCAUCCUAGGCAUUUCCUCCGAGCAUGACACAUUGCAAUAUCCAGAAAGCUUAAAAGAUAAUAUUGUACAUUCCACUUCGAUUGAGAAAGAAAAAGUACUUUUUACAGAAGAAAAUCAUCAAGUUGCACCAGAUGAUUCAGGAUUUAUUGACAAAGAGGAACAUGAAAAUCAAUGGGCAACUUAUUUUUCAAAUCUACCAUUAGGUUGGAAUGAGUUCUGGGAACAAUGUGGUGACCAGAUGGUUUGGAAUAACUGGAAUGAAAUGUUUUUUUCAACAUAUGGAGAUAGUAUUUCUCCUGAUAUGGUUGAUUGGACAACUAAAUUAUGGUCUGACAGGUAUCAAAAUUUUUAUUGGCAAACAUUCUGUCAGUAUCUUGAAAACUAUAGAGAAGAAAUGAAAGACAAAAGUGCUAUUGAUAAAGUAGCUAUUGAGAGAAAUGCCAAUAUAUCGGUAGUUGAAGAAAAUGCCAAUCGAUUGAUCAUUGAAGAAAAUGCCAAUCUAUCCGUAGUUGAAGAAAAUGCUAUUGAUUUAUUACUAGUUGAGAAAAAUAUUGUCGAUCAACCGGUGACACAAAAAAAUUCAUUAGAUCAACAAGUAUUUGAAAAUUAUUUUGAACAAUCUGCAGUAGUACAAGAUGUUUUAACUGAAAUGGUUACAAGAGUUUGUCAAAAAGAAACCAAUCACAAGAAGAAGAAAAAAAGAAAAAAUAAUAAAAAGAAUAAGCUUUCAGGUGUAGCUGAAUUUCAAAAAUUGUUGCUAGCAAAACAUGCUGACGUUUCUUUUAAUGAACAGAAAUUAGAUUCAACUUUAGUUCUGAAUUACUCUACUGAGCCUGCUACACAAGAUUUAGAAACAUAUCUGCAAGGCUCUUAUAAUACAUUUAGUUUGCGUUCUAAUCGAGGCAAAAGAAAAGCUGACCAACUUUUUUUAUGUUGUGAAUCUUAUAUGCUGGAGAGAAAUGGUUUAAAAAGGAAACUACUGCGUAUUGAUGACUUUAAAGAUCAUUGUUUUGACGGAAUCCAAAAUCUUAAUGCAAAGAAUUCAGCUUUUAUAAAUAUUGAUACUAAAGAAGCAAAUACAACGAAUCUUUCUUUGCAGAAAAAUUCUGAAAAUGAUUCUCAUAAAACAUUUGAAACUGAUAUUGCUAUAAAAACCCAGCCUUUGUCUAAUAAACUUUGUUCUCUUCUUGACCAAGUACGAGAUUUUUUCAAAAAUAUGUCUGCAAAAUUAACUCGUAAAUCUACUAAAAAAUCUGAAGAUUUUACAAAAAAAGAACCGACUACGGUAAAAAAUUAUGAUAAAAAUAACAGUUUACAAGAGUUAUCUUUGCUUGGUGUUGAAAAAUAUUGGGCACAAAGGUAUCGCUUGUUUAGUCGAUUUGAUGAGGGUGUAAAGUUAGACCAUGAAGGUUGGUUUUCUGUUACACCAGAAAAAAUUGCAGAGCAUGUUGCAAAUCGCUGCAAAUGUGAUCUUAUAAUAGACGCAUUUUGUGGCGUUGGUGGAAAUGCUAUUCAAUUUGCUUAUACAUGUGAACACGUUAUAGCCAUAGACAUUAAUCCUACUAGACUAGAAUGCGCUAGGCAUAAUGCUGUUGUAUAUGGAGUAGAAAAUCGGAUUACUUUUAUACUUGGAGAUUUUUUUCUUUUGGCCCCUUCUCUUAAAGCUGAUGUUGUAUUUCUCAGCCCUCCAUGGGGCGGUCCUAAUUAUAUAGCCGAAGAUGUUUUUGAUAUUGAAACAAUGAUUAAACCUGUAAGUGGUAGAGUUAUGUUUAAUGUGGCUUCGAAGAUAACUGAAAACAUUGCCCUCUUUUUACCAAAAAAUGUAGAUAUUGAACAAGUAGCUUCUCUUGUCAAACCAGGUGGUCAAGUUGAAAUUGAGAAAAACCUACUCAAUUCAAAGAUGAAAACAAUGAUGGCGUAUUUUGGAGAGCUUGUGAGCAAUAAAAGUACAUUUAAAUAAUGCAUAACAAUAAAUGGAGAAGCUUAAAAGAUAUGAUAUCGAUGUUUAUAUUGUUCGUAUAAAGAUAUGAUAUGGAUAUAUGGACUGAUUUGAACUUGUACAACUUUGUAGAGUCAAAAUUUGCAAAUAAGAGCAAAUAUGUUUUAACAAGUCCACGAUCAUUAGAGGCAUGUUCAAUACUUCAAAUUCAA
rnacentral:misc_RNA from 1 species